GAUCCUGGCUCGGGAUGAACGCUAGCUACAGGCUUAACACAUGCAAGUCGAGGGGCAGCGGGAUUGAAGCUUGCUUCAAUUGCCGGCGACCGGCGCACGGGUGAGUAACGCGUAUCCAACCUUCCGCUUACUCGGGGAUAGCCUUUCGAAAGAAAGAUUAAUACCCGAUGGUAUCUUAAGCACGCAUGAGAUUAAGAUUAAAGAUUUAUCGGUAAGCGAUGGGGAUGCGUUCCAUUAGGCAGUUGGCGGGG
rnacentral:rRNA from 1 species